AGGGUGCGCGUGCGCAGACCUUGCUCUAUGGGCUUUAUUUAGGCUGCGCAGGCGCCCGCUUAUCAUUUCUCCUCAGCCACGCCGAGGCUUUGUGUUGAGCCCUGCAGCCCUGCAGCCUGUUUCGACGCCAGGACCAGCGAAAAGACGAUGAUGCUCGGAGCAGAAGGCGGAGAGGGCUUCGUGGUGAAGGUCCGGGGCUUGCCCUGGUCCUGCUCCGCGGAUGAAGUGCAGCGGUUUUUUUCUGACUGCAAAAUCCAAAAUGGGGCUCAAGGUAUACGUUUCAUCUACACCAGAGAAGGCAGACCAAGUGGCGAGGCUUUUGUUGAACUUGAAUCAGAAGAUGAAGUCAAAUUGGCCUUGAAAAAAGACAGAGAAACUAUGGGACACAGAUAUGUUGAAGUAUUCAAGUCAAACAACGUUGAAAUGGAUUGGGUGUUGAAGCAUACUGGUCCAAAUAGUCCUGACACGGCCAAUGAUGGCUUUGUACGGCUUAGAGGACUCCCUUUUGGAUGUAGCAAGGAAGAAAUUGUUCAGUUCUUCUCAGGUAUAUUGAAAUAUUUAAGAGCAGUCGAGCUGAAGUUAGAACUCAUUAUGAUCCACCGCGAAAACUUAUGGCCAUGCAGCGGCCAGGUCCCUAUGACAGACCUGGAGCUGGCAGAGGGUAUAACAGCAUUGGCAGAGGAGCUGGUUUUGAGAGGAUGAGGCGUGGUGCUUAUGGUGGAGGCUAUGGAGGCUAUGAUGAUUAUAAUGGCUAUAAUGAUGGCUAUGGAUUUGGUUCGGAUAGAUUUGGAAGAGACCUCAAUUAUUGUUUUUCAGGAAUGUCUGACCACAGAUACGGGGAUGGUGGCUCUACUUUCCAGAGUACAACAGGACACUGUGUACACAUGCGGGGACUACCAUACAGAGCUACUGAGAAUGACAUUUAUAAUUUUUUUUCACCACUCAACCCUGUGAGAGUACAUAUUGAGAUUGGACCUGAUGGCAGAGUAACUGGUGAAGCAGAUGUUGAGUUUGCAACCCAUGAAGAUGCUGUUGCAGCUAUGUCAAAAGAUAAAGCAAAUAUGCAACACAGAUAUGUAGAACUCUUCUUGAAUUCUACAGCAGGAGCAAGCGGUGGUGCUUACGGUAGCCAAAUGCUAGGAGGCAUGGGUUUGUGUAAAUAUCACUUUAGUGUCUUUUUUUUAAGCUAACCUUGUAUGCCUUUUCUCUCAUUUCAGAACACAGAUAUGUAGAACUCUUCUUGAAUUCUACAGCAGGAGCAAGCGGUGGUGCUUAUGGUAGCCAAAUGAUGGGAGGCAUGGGCUUGUGUAAAUAUCGUUAGUUUUUUUAAAAACCGAAACAUUUAUAUCUGUAUAAGUAGAUAAUAAGCUAAGUUUUAAUAUAUAUUUAAUUAGUUUAGCAUAAGACUUUGUUAGCAUAAUAAUUACAUAAGUUACAAUAAUCUUAGGAAACAAAUGUAGGUAGAGAUAGAUUCUUAAUAUGAGCAAAUUUUGUAAUUAAUGCAUUAGUUACUAAAAUCAAGCAAGUAACAUAAAGCUGCUUUGGUAGAUUACUCAAAGUAGAUAGAUAUAAAGUACUUCUGUUUGGGGGAGGGGACUAUUGAAUAUUAAUAUUACAUUAUCUGUAAAGUUUAAGUCUAAAAUACUUAGUAAAAAUACAGGAUUAAAAUUUAAUUAGUUAGGCAUAAUUAGGUAUUAACUGAUAGCCUGUAUAAUGACAUCUGAUACAUAUAUUGAGCUAGGAGGAACUUUUAAACUGUUUCAUAAGAUGGUCACAAAAUGCCUCUAUUUAGGGAAUCAUGUGUAUUUGGUUUAUGAAACAUUUGACUAGCUUAUAUGAUUAAUACAAAGGUUAAUCUGGUUAUAGACAAUUUGAAUCUUGUCAUAGAUAAUAGGCAGAAGGAGACAGAACAAGACUGGAAAACUGUAGACAUAGAAUUACAAGCCCGGUACCACCAGGUACCACAUUGGAUAAGGAACAAAGCUCUAAUGUUCUCUUAACUUAACAGCAAACCAGUCCAGUUACGGUGGCCCAGCCAGCCAGCAGCUGAGUGGUGGUUAUGGAGGUGGCUAUGGUGGCCAGAGCAGCAUGAGUGGAUAUGACCAAGUUUUACAGGAAAACUCCAGUGAUUUUCAAUCAAACAUUGCGUAGGUAGCCAAGGAGCAGUGAACAGCAGCUACUACAGUAGUGGAAGCCGAGCAUCUAUGGGCGUGAAUGGAAUGGGAGGGAUGUCUAGCAUGUCUAGUAUGAGUGGUGGAUGGGGAAUGUAAUUGAUUUUGAUCACUGACUCUUGGUCAAAAAGAAAUUUUUUAAAAAACCCUUCAGUUUAACAGUUUUUGCAAUCCAUCCUUGUGGUUUUAUGCCUGCUCUCUUAAGUGAACAUUGGCAUCACUCAAAGAAGGUUCUUUGAACAUAGCAGUCACCUAGGAUGAUAGGGCAAAGUUGAGUGAACUGUAACUGUUAAACUUAAUUCCUAGCUUUUCUCUAGUUACUGUAGGAUGUACGUAAGCAGUAAGUGUAUUUAGGUUAAAGCAGUUGAAUUAUGUUAAAUGUUGCUCUUAUACAUACAUACAUUGAACACUGUUGAUGCAUGUUGAAAAGACAUGCUUUUUUGUAAAACUAUAGGAGCUGUGUCUACAAUUAAAAGUGAAACAUUUGGCAUGUUUGUUAAUUCUAAAUUCAUUUGAUAACCUGUAAGGCACGUGAGUUUAAAGCUUUUUUUUUUUAAGUUAAUGGAGAAAUUUUGAGACGCAAUACCCAUUACUUUUUAGGAUUUUUGGUCUUGGUGUUUGUAUGAAAUUCUGAGGCCUUGAUUUAAGUCUUUCAUUGUAUUGUGAUUUCUUUUUAGGUGUAUUGCGCUAAGUGAACCUUGUCAAAUAAAUCUUCCUUUUAAAAGCUA